GCGUGGGUGUGGGUGUGUUGGUGGGUGUGGGCGGAGGCAGCAGUGGGCGCCUCAGAACCAAAACAAAUAUGGCGUCACUCGGGCAGGAGGCUACGAUGUUUUGACUCUCAUGUCCUUGACCGCCUCCUCCCCUCCACAUUAGUUAUCAUCGUGCAAGAUCAACAUUUGUGGCAUGAGACGAUCACGCUGGGACAUCAAGGGGGAGCGUGAGUGCCCAAAGGAACAACCAAGAAGAUGGGGCAAUCGUUGUACUUCACAAAUGGAUUGGAAUAUGAAUAAUGACUCGGAGUCCCAUCCAUCAAUGCCGUCUCCCCCAAGACAGAGAGCCACUCCUUCGCCAAUUGAUUACCGAAGUGAAAGUCGACGGCGCCACGAUAACGAACAGGACAGUAAUGUGCCCCAGAGUUCGGCAGCACCAUCCCAUGGUCCUCAACAGUCGUUGAUGGGCCCUCCAUCUACACACUUUACGUCAUCAUGGCCCUUGUUGGCAGCACAGAAUGUAUUUACAGAUUCAGAUCGUGGACAUCAUGCGCCUCCUCCUUAUGCAACUCAUCAACGCUGGGCCCAGGCACAUCCGGGUUACUUUCAAACAGAUGGUGGCCAGUAUGCCUUUGAUAUGAAAUGGUGGGCCCAGCAAAAACAGUCAAUGGAUGCUUAUUUGAGUGGUCCUAGCUGGAGAGAUGACACUAAAAAUUCCCAUCCUGAUUCUGGAAUGCCACAGUGGUCAUUUGGCACUCGUGUAAUGAAAAAUGGCAAUAAAAGACAUAAUGGCAACAGAUCUUUAAACCGCAAUCAUCAUUCAGACGGUAAUUAUAAUGGGCAAAGACACGAUUCCAGUUAUGACCCUAUGGAUCCUCGCCGGAGGUCGUCGUCUUUGUCACACAACAAUCAGAAGGCUCGAGAUGGUAGCAGAUCCAACAGCUGUAACCAUCAGAUGGAGGGUAAUUACAAUGGGCAGAGACACGAUUCAGGCUACAGUCAGGCAGACCCUCGAAGACAACCUUUAUCAUAUCAAACGCAGAGAAUCAGAGAGAGUUUACACGAUUCUAGAAGACGAUACGUUAUUGAUAGGAGAGACCCCAGAAAGACAAACUCUGUUUACCACUCGCUUGCUUGGGGCAGUAGUGAUAAUGUUAGCGGAAAAGGAAGAGGAAAUAAAGGUGGGAAGAAAAGUAAAGUUAAGUUGCAGCCCAGUAAAUUUGAUGUACCUGGUAGUUUUAAGUCUUGUGGUGCAGUGAGUAGAAGUAUACGACCUAUUAGUACAAGUGCUUCUCUGACUCGGGCAAGAGAUGAUUGGUCUAUUUUUAAGAAUAAAGGUAAAGAGAAAAAAGGGAAAAAAAUAACUGGUGAUGAGAGUGCUACUUAUGCCGAAGCAGCAAAGAAAAAAGCACUGGCUGCAGCAGCAAACAAACUGAGGAGGACAUUCCUUGCUGCAAAGAAAAAAAAUGGAGGAGGAGAAUGUUCACCAGCUGAAGAUGACAAUGAUGUUGACACGACAGAAACGGCAGAAGAUAAUAACGCAGAGGAUUUAUCCAUGCCACGGCGCCACCCUAGCUGCUUGGAAUUUGACAUUGAUAUACGCUUCAGUGCUAAAGAAUGGGCAUCGGUGGGAUCUGGUCAGGGUGGAACCAGCAACAUUCUCGAUAUACCACAAGCAUCUGCUUCACGAAAACGAUUAAAUGCCUUGCAGAAGAAUAGCAAUAUUGGAUGCAGAGAGGAACAAGAGGACUCUGGUACUUAUUCUGACACAGAUGUUGGAAGAGCAGAACCUCAUUGGUCUGUAAAUGCUGCACAACUCUCUUCGUCAUCAACACUCACUCGCCGACGACACUUGUCCGAGAGCUCGGGGGUAAUUGACCUACGGAAAAAUCCUACAAAUGGAUGCUCGGCAUCAAGACCUGGCCCUGGACGUAUAAGAUCGUGCUCCAUGAGUCUAGUAGAGGGAGCAGGCUCCAGCAAAGAUGGACAGGGAGGCUCGGGUGAAAGACCAUCCCGCAUGAAGCUGCACCUGAUGCCAAAAUUAAGAAGAUUAAUGCUAAAGCAACUGCUCACAAUGGAUAAAAAAUCCCUUCAGGAGUUGGUAGAUGACCCACGAUCUCGUAAGGCACAGUUUAUGAUGACACACCUCAUGUCCGAGCACCGUGCAGCUCUGUCGCAGCGUCUCACUCAGCAACGCUUCAGGAUUCCCGACUCUUUGCACGAUGAUGAGCUGCAGCUGUUGAAUAGCUUGGAGAACUCUCAACUAAAUUCUGUUCCACCCGAAGUUGUGCAGCAGGUUCGGGAAAUUCUUGCUUUGGAGCAGAACGGGAAUACCAGAGCAUGGGAGGAGGUAACCUUUUCCCUGAAUGACCUUCUGAAUGCUGACUCCGAUCACGACCUGGACUGUCAGAUAAUAUCCCCACCGCCACGGGAUCCCGCCUCCACCAUCACCAUCCACGACUCAGACUCGGAAAUGGAAGAUCUCAUUCAAGGUGAAGGCGAGAGUGAACAUGAAGAGGAUGACCACGAGCCAGAAGAAAGAGAGCACGAAGAUGACGACCAUGAGGAUAGGGAGAGUGAUCGUGAAGAUGAAGAUCAAGAAGAUGAAGACGAGCAUGAAGACGAAGAGGAGGAGGAAGAUGAAGAUGAAGAGGAGGAGGAGGAGGAGGAGGUGCAGCACCAAGUGUCUGUCUCGCCAGAAAAUGUCGAGUCAAGUGACACUAGAACCUCAAUCAGUAAGAGAGAAGUGGCCACACCCCACAGUGGCAGCAAACCCUCAGGUGCUCCCUUACAGAUGCUGCCGCCUAUUCCCGUAGAAGUGCCACUGUGCGUUAUGGAAUCCCUAGCUAGUGGCCCUAACAGUACUAGAGAUCUAACAAACCAGGUGUCUGAUGCCACACUAAAUUUGAUAGCCUCAAGUCAGCCACCUUUAAAUAGCCAAAGGCCGGCAGCUGAAAACAUCUCGGUGCCUGGACCCAGUUCGCUUCUUUUGGCUCCGCCUAGACUAAAGGUAAAGGAAGAACGUCCAUCGCCCAUCAGUGAAUGUGGCCUCUGCAUGCACAAUCCACGAACGCCUCACACCUCAGAAUGCGUAUACCCUUAUGGCCUAGCUCCUCCGUCUCCUGUGGCACUGAUGCCCGGGCCCCCACGGCCCUUGGGCACCACACCGCCACAGAGGCCAGUCCCCCACAUGCCAGCCACUCAGCAGCCUCCUGCCGUCCCACUCUCAUCGACUCAUUACCAGAGGUCUAUCAAGCAGGAGAAGCUUGAUGACUCGUAUCUGAAGUACGAACAUGUAAAACGGCCAUCCUCCGAAGAGCGUCCAAAGAACCCUGCUCCUCCUGAUGCACUACCUCUUCCUCCUCCUGCCCAAGGCCUACACCAUCCUCCACAUCCAAGGCCACUCAUAUUCUCUCCUGACAAUGAUUUCCCGGAUCCUCCGCGUCCACCGCCACCUCCGCCCCCGCAGUUCAGUCCACGCAUCAAGAUUGAGCGACAUACACCUGUCCAGUUCAUGUGCUGCUGCAUGCGAAAUGAGUGUGAACGAAGCAGCACGCACAGUGCAGAGAUGCGGCCACCUUCCCGCCGCAAUGGAACUACUCCACAACCUACAGAAAGAAGACCAACGCCACAUCUGUACAAAAUGGAACCACCGUCCCCUUGUGCCUCACUGGCCAGAACUCCACACCAAAGUCUUCCUGGCCACUUUGCACCACCAGCUUCACCUCGUUGUCAUAGUAAUACAGUGGCAGCUGACGCUAGAGUUACUGUUGGUGUACAGACCGAGAAGGAACGACUUGUUCCAGCAUAUGACCAAUCCAGUAAUAAUAAUAAUAAUAAUACUAAUAACAAUAAUAAUAAUAACAAUAAUAAUAAAAGACAGUAUGUUCCUAACUUAAGUUUAGCAAGAAGUGUAACACCAUUAGUUACUAUUAAAGUGGAUCAGAGUACAAGUACAGAAGAUUUAGGUGGUGCAUGGGAGCAACAACAGCAACGUGGGAAAAGCAGAGGCAAAGGUUGGUGGUGGCAUCGUAAUGGCCGCCCUAGAAACCACCUCAGUCAAUUAACUUCUAUUUCAAAUUCUUUAAGUGAUUUUGAAUUUAGUCAGGAUGCAGGAAUUGCAUUGCAGCAAAUGAUGGUUUUCAGUGAGCAAGAAACAGAAUUUGUCCGACACUUGGAAAGCAUUGAUCAAGAAAUACACGAGCUCAUGCGGGAGAAAAAGCGAAUGACUGAGGAACUGGGACGCCUCCAGCAUCUCCGUAUAGGUAAGCUACAACAGCUAGUAAGACAAGGUGGCGCUAGUAGUAGCAUAACCGGAGCUGUGGUCCCUAGAGGAGAGCCUCCCGUACUGCGAGGAACUUGUAGCGACAUAAGACCGCCACGAACUCUUCAUCAAGACUCUAGCUCAGAUGGGGGUGAUCAUAUGGAUACUAGUAAUUCUACCACCACAUACAAUAUUGAAAAUAUUUCACUUCGGUAUGGAUUGUCUAAGGAAGACGUUUGUGUUCAGUCUACAACAGAUAAUGCCUCGGUUGUAACUUCUUCACAAGAAAAGGGCCCAAGGGUACGCUCUUUUAGUUUCUCUCACACUUCCUCUAAUGACUCCAGCAAUGAAUCUCAGACUGUUAGAAGACAAAGAUGUACAUCCACGUGUCAUUCUCCAGGCAGAAGCUUGAAAUCUAAAGAAACUCUUCAAAUUACUUAUCUUGGUCCCAUUAAUCCUAACGAAGAAUUUUAUCAACAAAUAGCCAGUAACAUUCAUAAACUGCAACAGUCCAUUUCUAAUACAGAUUCAGAAACUGACAAUGAUGUAAAAACUUUGGAGGUUCCCGUUGAAAGUUCAGAGGCAAAUGUAUUUUAUAAAACCGAUGUCAGAGAAGCAACAAGUAGGAAUAGAAGUAACUCUUUGUCUAGUUCAGCUGAAGGUGACAUUGAAAGUGAAGUUCCUAUUGAUCAUGAUGAGGAAGAGGAGAGAAUACCAAGACGAAGGCACAACCUGUCUACUGAUGAAGGCGAAGCUGUUGUCGAUUCCUCUGAGCAGCUUGAUAAAAUAGACAAUGAUUCUUCUCAAGGAGAUACUGAAGACCAGUCUGUAGAAAAGCCUCAGGAUGCUGAAAAAGAAUUAAGUGUGCACAUUUGUCAACAAGUAGAUAAUGGAGAAAUUAAGAAAGAGGAGGAACUGAAAUAUUCUCAAGAUGCAGGGUCAUCUGAACCAGGGUCAUCUGAACCAUCUCAAGAAGCUGAGUCAUCUCAAGCUAUUCAAGAGUCUGAAUCAAGUUCAGUGUGUAAAAAAUCUGAGUCUCCAGAAGCAAAUGACUCGACUGAAGUGUACCAAGGGCCUUGUCAGAUGGAGAUGUCAGUAUUAGACGAGAAACCUGCGUUAACUGAAGCUUGUGAAGAAAUAGGUUUUGCUCAAGCAAACAGUGCAACGGAGAAACGGGAAUUCAUCGGCACUUCAAGGAAAAGUUGUUCCUCUUCCUCAUCGUCCCCAGCAUCGUCACCAGACAGCCAGAAAUCUAGAAAUUCUUCGGGUGAACAUUGUUACAGUUUGAGGUCUCGAGGCCCACCGAGUAAGAUUAAGCAGAAGCUGUUAGGAAACGUUGAAGUGAAUAAUGACGUGCAAGAGGAGAACUCUGUGAAAACUUCCUUGGGUAAAGCUAGUGAGAAAGUGGGAGGAGAAGAUGGACACGCAGAUGACGAACGCGAGAAAGAAGAUGAAUUUAGCAGAUUCCCACAUUUGGAAGGAUCAGAUGGCGGUGCGGAAGAGAAGAAAAGGAAACGAAAACGAAAAACAAAGAGACACAGAGUGAAUAAACGAAAAAAGAAGAAAUUACCAGAAAAGAAUGGAAGUAAUUCACCCAUUACAGUUAGUGCCAAGAGAAAAUUGCCAUUAUCUACAUCAGUUACUACUUCUCACAGUUCUUUAACUUUGUUGGAAAAAGAUGUUACUGACUGCAAUUUAGACAUUGAUGAAAUCAUGGACAGUUCUGGAGAUGAACACGUAUUCGUGAGCCCCCCGUCUCAUGGUUGUGCAGUGCUGGAUAUUAAGGUUGUAGGAGAUUUUGUGAUAACUGCGUCAAGUGAUGGUACUGCAAGAUGUUACAACAUGAUUUCAGGGCGUGUUAUGGCCACAUACGUCGACCACACCGACAUUGUGACGUGUGUCGGAGUGGUUGGCAAACCCGAUUUUGAAACGGAUUCUCAAGAAUUUCAGGUUGUAACAGGAUCGGCAGACAAAACCAUAUGCAUAUUUAAUGGAAAGACUGGCAUAGCAAAGCAGCACUGUAAGGUUGGCGAGGGCGUACGGUGUCUUGACAUAUCUUGGGGCCAACUCUUUCUUGGCACGGAAGGUGGCUGUGGAGCAAGAUGGAACUUCAAGGACAAAGGUGUGACGGAGAUGGUGCAGUUCUGUGGUAAAGCAGUAACAAGUCUGAAGGCCAUGACUGAGGGUGGCCGGAGGGUUCUGCUUGUUGCCGCCAAAACUACGCCGCUCAUGAUCCGAGAUGCCAUGACAGGUCUGUUUUUGCGCACGUUGGAGCACAUACAGGUGACAGUGUAUGCAACUGUGUCACACGGAGGACUUCUCUACACCGGUGGCUCAAACAAGGCCAUUGUGUAUUAUGACUUUACGACGGGUAGCAGCAGAGGACACAUAGCAAGUGAGGCUGACGUGUCGUGUCUCAGCAUCUACAAAGGUCGCCUCGUUGCCACGUGUUAUGAUGGACUCGUCCGAGUAUUUUGCCUGGCUACUGGCCAGCUUUUACAAAGAAUACCGGUUGAAGCUACAAAUAAAAUUUUCAUUUGCUCAGCAUUGUAUAAAGACAGAUUACUGGUGGGAAACAAGAAGGGAGAGGUGGUGGGUUGUCACCUGGCGCAGCUUGCUAGUCAACCUGGCCAGAGUAACUCGUCACAAUAAAGCUGUCUGGCAUUCCUUGGCAGUGGAGGCCCAGCAAGUUGGAGAUGUGACAGCCAACUUGGAGAUGCGGCUUCCACUCAAGAUGGAAACGGGACAAAAUUAAUAUUUCUCCUACGAAGAAUCGGUGCUCAGAUAUUUGUUUAGAAUAUUAGGUCUAUGUCCUGGAAUUUUGCACUCAAGCACAAAACGUUUUAUGUGAUACUGGGCUGUGUUCAGGAAAUGCGGCAGUGAUACAUUCUCAGAACUAUAGAGCCAACUGAGGCACAUGUGGUCAAGUGUUCUAUUCACAAUUUGUGUCAAUUCUAAAUACAAAUAUUAAAACAUAAAAUAGGUUGAAAAUGGGAUGAUUUACAUCGCUUCUAAUCAUGUUAGAAGUUCAUCAGCAGAUUAGACGAACUUAUAAGUUUUAACCAAUUUUGUUUUAAUUGCACUGUUGGUAUGUAUGUCUUAACAUUGUGGAAUCUUUAUUACAAAUUGCCAAGAAAAGUUUGCACUAAGCCAAACAUCUGGAACUGAAAACGUACCACAAUUCCUAAUGAGGCACUUCUCUGUACCCGUAAAUAUGUUUUGAGAAAACCCAAGAUAAAAAUUAACUUUGUAAGUCCGAGUGUAGUGCUGCUCAUUUUAUGCCGUAUACAAUGGUGGGUUACCAGGUGUUAGCGUAACAUUGUGAAUGUGAGCUAGACUCGCAGUGGCGUUGGUGGUUGCUGUACGAGGAUGAAUACCUGUACUGUCUUUUGUGAAGGUGGCCCAAGGACUUGCUAGUCAGGCUCAAACAUUGGCCAUGAUCUUUCAUUAUUUUCAUUAUUUCAUUAUUUUCAUUAUUCUCUUUCAUUAUUUUCUGUUAAGGUACUGUAAAUUUAUUAUUUUUUCAGGAUUCUCGGGAUAUUAGUGUUUUGCUCAUACAGAUCUCAAACAUAACAUUUGUUGUCAAAUUUUAAUGUUUAUCACAUACUUGCUGUUUAUAUAAAUAAAUAAAAUCCAAUC
rnacentral:misc_RNA from 1 species